rnacentral:rRNA from 1 species
UACGUAGGGGGCAAGCGUUGUCCGGAUUUAUUGGGCGUAAAGAGCGUGUAGGCGGCCUGAAAGGUCAGCUGUGAAAACUCGAGGCUCAACCUCGAGACGUCGGUUGAAACCAUCUGGCUAGAGUCCGGAAGAGGAGUGUGGAAUUCCCGGUGUAGCGGUGAAAUGCGUAGAUAUCGGGAAGAACACCCGUGGCGAAGGCGGCUCUCUGGGACGGUACUGACGCUGAGACGCGAAAGCGUGGGGAGCGAACAGG